CUGAUGGGUGGUUGCAGGCACCCCGUGUAAUUAGUCGAGGUGCGUGCAAGCUGGCUGGACACCAAGGUUAUAAAAAAAAAAAAAAGAUACUAAAUCACUUUGUUUCUAAAUAUGUUCAUUUGAUCAUACAAUCUUCUAUGUUCUGGUAGCUUUAGGUUGCAUCAACACAGUAGAUGAGAGGAGCGAUAUGCUUUUCUACCCUUUUCAAACAAAUAUUUUUUGUAUUUUAGAUUUUCUUUAGGUUAAUUGAUAGGCAUCAUGUAUAUUGAAGGGAGAUUCUUCGCCUUGUAUCUGUAAGGAAGAAGAUAACAUAGUUGAUAAUCAUUAUAGCGGAGGCAAAAAAUGCUAGGUAAUUUCUUCUCAUCUACCUAAGUCUCAGUGGGCAGAGUUACAUGUUACCUGUGUUGGUGGGAGGUAGCAGGUACCCAGUGGAAUAGUCAGGGUGCGCGCAAGUUGGUCCAAACACCGCCAUCAUAAAACAUAUAUAGUUGAUAAUCAUUUGAAACUAGGUGGUUUUCCUCUUUAUCUUGUACUUCUUUAUUAACGACGACGAUGAUUGAAAUUGCAUAAUAACAUCUAAGAUGUUUCCAAAUUUGUGUUUUGAUUUUAUUUUGAAUUGUUUGUUUCUACUUAUAAUCGUUUUUUUUUUCCAGGUGUUCUCAGCUUUUGGAUUUGUCCAUAAGAUUACUACAUUCGAGAAAACUGCUGGCUUCCAGGCGCUAGUGCAAUUUACUGAUGCAGAAACUGCGACUUCUGCGAAGGAAGGAUGCCCUUGAUGGAAGAAGCAUUCCCAGGUGAUUGUGGAUUUAUAUUUCAGAUUGGGGUACAUUGGGGCUCGACAUCUUUGAAGAGCUUUUUAAGAAUCUACCAAAGGGGUAUUUGAUUCCGGAGCUGGGACCUUGUUCUCUCAAAAUAACAUAUUCGGCACAUACUGAUUUGACUGUGAAGUUUCAGAGUCAUCGUAGCAGGUAGAACUGAUAUCUCUCUCCCUCACACAGAGAACUCCCCCCUCCUCUUUUUCUGCUAAGCAGACAUUCAUGAUGAUGGCUUAUUCUAUUUUCGGAAAAUCAGCUGUACAUAUUGCAUAAAAGUCGGCCAAACAAAAGUUAUCAGU